rnacentral:rRNA from 1 species
GGAUAGCGGAGAAAUUCCAAUCGAACUCGGAGAUAGCUGGUUCUCCUCGAAAUAGCUUUAGGGCUAGCGUGAGGUGAUAUGAGUACUGGAGGUAGAGCACUGAAUGGGCUAGGGGGUAUAGCACUUACCGAACCUUAUCAAACUCCGAAUGCCAGAUACUUUUAGCCUUGCAGUCAGACUGCGAAUGAUAAGGUCCGUAGUCAAAAGGGAAACAGCCCAGAUCGUCAGCUAAGGUCCCAAAGUGUAAGUUAAGUGGAAAAGGAUGUGGGAUUUCUAAGACAACUAGGAUGUUGGCUUAGAAGCAGCCACUCAUUAAAAGAGUGCGUAAUAGCUCACUAGUCGAGAGAUCCUGCGCCGAAGAUGUCCGGGGCUAAAACUUACCACCGAAGCUACGGGAUUGCAAUAGCAAUCGGUAGAGGAGCGUCGUAAUCGGGCUGAAGUCGUACCGUAAGGAGCGGUGGACUGAUUACGAGUGAGAAUGUUGGCAUUAGUAGCGAGAUGUAGGUGAGAAUCCUACAGGCCGAAUACCUAAGGUUUCCUCAGGAAGGUUCGUCCUCUGAGGGUUAGUCGGGACCUAAGCCGAGGCCGAAAGGCGUAGGUGAUGGACAAUCGGUUGAUAUUCCGAUACCACUAUAAUCGUUAUUAUCGAUGGCGUGACGGAGAAGGAUAGAGUGUGCUAGCUAUUGGAUGCUAGUCUAAGCGUUUAGGGAGUCAGGAUAGGCAAAUCCGUUCUGAUAAUUCUGAGGCGUGAUGGGGAAGGUUCUAAGGAACCGAAGUACUUGAUUCCAUGCUUCCAAGAAAAGCGUCUAGAAAGAGAAGUAGUGCCCGUACCGUAAACCGACACAGGUAGGUGAGGAGAGAAUCCUAAGGCCGGCGGAAGAAUCACAGUUAAGGAACUAGGCAAAUUGACCCCGUAACUUCGGGAUAAGGGGUGCCUGCGCGAGCAGGUCGCAGAGAAUAGGCCCAAGCAACUGUUUAGCAAAAACACAGGUCUCUGCUAAAGCGAAAGCUGAUGUAUAGGGGCUGACGCCUGCCCGGUGCUGGAAGGUUAAGGGGAACACUUAGCGCAAGCGAAGGUGUGAACUUAAGCCCCAGUAAACGGCGGCCGUAACUAUAACGGUCCUAAGGUAGCGAAAUUCCUUGUCAGGUAAGUUCUGACCCGCACGAAUGGCGUAAUGAUUUGGGCACUGUCUCAACUGUGAAUCCGGCGAAGUUGUAGUGCGAGUGAAGAUGCUCGCUACCCGCGAUUGGACGGAAAGACCCCGUAGAGCUUUACUGUAGCUUAGCAUUGAAUUUCGGUAUUGUCUGUACAGGAUAGGUGGGAGACUAGGAAACCAGAGCGUCAGCUUUGGCGGAGUCACCCUUGGGAUACCACCCUGAUAGUACUGAGGUUCUAACUGGAUGCCAUGAAUCUGGUGACAGGACAUUGUUAGGUGGGCAGUUUGACUGGGGCGGUCGCCUCCGAAAGUGUAACGGAGGCGCCCAAAGGUUCCCUCAGAACGGUCGGAAAUCGUUCGAAGAGUGCAAAGGCAGAAGGGAGCCUGACUGCGACACCCACAAGUGGAGCAGGGACGAAAGUCGGGCUUAGUGAUCCGGUGGUACCUCGUGGGAGGGCCAUCGCUCAACGGAUAAAAGCUACCUCGGGGAUAACAGGCUGAUCUCCCCCAAGAGUCCACAUCGACGGGGAGGUUUGGCACCUCGAUGUCGGCUCGUCGCAUCCUGGGGCUGAAGUAGGUCCCAAGGGUUGGGCUGUUCGCCCAUUAAAGCGGCACGCGAGCUGGGUUCAGAACGUCGUGAGACAGUUCGGUCCCUAUCCGUCGCGGGCGUAGGAAAUUUGAGAGGAGCUGUCCUUAGUACGAGAGGACCGGGAUGGACUGACCUCUGGUGCACCAGUUGUUCCGCCAGGAGCACAGCUGGGUAGCUAAGUCGGGAAGGGAUAAACGCUGAAAGCAUCUAAGCGUGAAGCCCACCUCAAGAUGAGAUUUCCCAUAGCGUAAGCUAGUAAGACCCCUUGAAGAACACAAGGUUGAUAGGUCAGAGGUGUAAGUGUGGUAACAUAUUUAGCUGACUGAUACUAAUAGGUCGAGGGCUUGACCAA